AACGAACGCUGGCGGCAGGCCUAACACAUGCAAGUCGAACGCUCCGCAAGGGGAGUGGCGCACGGGUGAGUAACACGUGGGAACCUACCUUCUGGUACGGAACAACCAAGGGAAACUCUGGCUGAUACCGUAUACGACCUCCGGGUGAAAGAUUGAUCGCCGGAAGAGGGGCCCGCGUCCGAUUAGCUAGUUGGUGGGGUAAUGGCUCACCAAGGCAUCGAUCGGUAACCGGCCUGAGAGGGCGGACGGUCACACUGGGACUGAGACACGGCCCAGACUCCUACGGGAGGCAGCAGUAGGGAAUUGUUCGCAAUGGGCGCAAGCCUGACGACGCAACGCCGCGUGGAAGAUGAAGACCUU
rnacentral:rRNA from 1 species